rnacentral:rRNA from 1 species
UACGUAGGGGGCAAGCGUUGUCCGGAUUUAUUGGGCGUAAAGCGCUCGCAGGUGGUCCGUUGCGUCGUGCGUGAAAGACCCCGGCUCAACCGGGGAGGGUCGUGCGAUACGGGCGGACUGGAGUACUGCAGGGGAGACUGGAAUUCCUGGUGUAGCGGUGGAAUGCGCAGAUAUCAGGAGGAACACCGGUGGCGAAGGCGGGUCUCUGGGCAGUAACUGACGCUGAGGAGCGAAAGCGUGGGGAGCGAACAGG